GAAGAAGAACGUAGCGAAAUGCGAUAAGUAAUGUGAAUUGCAGAAUUCAGUGAAUCAUCGAAUCUUUGAACGCACAUUGCGCCCCUUGGUAUUCCGAGGGGCAUGCCCGUUCGAGCGUCAUUAUACCCCUCAAGCCUAGCUUGGUGUUGGGGCCUGCUGUUACCGGCAGCCCUUAAAAUCAGUGGCGGUGCCAUCUGGCUCUAAGCGUAGUAAUACUUCUCGCUACAGGGUCCCGGUGGAUGCUUGCCAUCAACCCCUAAUUUUCUAUGGUUGACCUCGGAUCGGGUAGGGAUACCCGCUGAACUUAAGCAUAUCAAUAAGCGGAGGA
rnacentral:misc_RNA from 1 species